rnacentral:lncRNA from 10 species
UGACAUAAAAGGAAAGGCAGAGAGGCAGCCCAAGCUCCUUUUCCUUUCCGUCCUUCCGUGCUCAUCAGGAAGCCCAAGGCAGGGAGUGAGGGUACAACCACGGAACCUACAGUCGCUGGAUCAAGCUCUCCCUGCCCAGUGCUGUGAAUCAUGACUGGAGUGAGGGAAAACUGUAUAAAUGGCUGCAAACCAAGCCCACUGGUUACAGACAGUGUCUGCUAGCUGUAGACCACGCCUGUUGGUUACAAACCAAGUCCGAUGGUUCUGGGGCACAAGACAGUCCCCAUGACUAAGAAUGACCCAACCACAAACGCCGGCAGUGCUGUGGUGAAGGAGCCACGCAGGAGAAUGGAGGUGGUAAAAGCAGGCUCACCGGGGUCAAACUGUCCAGUUUUAAGUUCUGGAUCCAACUUUUACGAAUGCUAUGGACUUGGAAAAUUAUAACCUUUCACCGAGCCUCAGUUUCCCCAUCUGUAAAUAAUGGGAUGAUAACGGCACCUGCCUCCUGAUGCAGAGUUGGCUCGGCGCAGGGCAGCCAGGGCAGCAUCCCCAGCCCUCUGCACCUCCGGACGGUGAGAGCUCCCUGCUUAAUAACGAGCCGGGCCCGGGGACACUUACCCUCUGUCUUGCCUCGCAUAAGUCACUUCAUCCUUGCAAGGAGCAGUCUCUGGGUUCGUGUUAAAAAUCGAAGCUAAAAACCAGUGAUUCUUUUAAGGGUGAUGUUGAGCUUAAACCAUGUUGGGACUUGGAAUAAUAAUACAAAGAAGAACUGACUCCAGGGAGGACUUUCUGGGCUAGCACUGUGCUUUGUGCCUGGCAAGCACCCUCUCGUCUCAUCCUGGGAGUAAGGACAUGUUAACUUAGCAGAGACGAAGAAAUUGAGGCUCAGCGAGCGGGAGGGCCUUGCCGAGGACACAGCUGGCAAAUGGCCGUGUGACCAGAGCCUGCACUUGCAGCGAGACUUCUGUGCUCGCUCUGGUUUCAUCCUUUAAGAGGAACACCCUGCAACGGCCCCGGGGAAGCCCCCCUGCCUUCCUUCACCCCAGGGACCCCAGGAACAUUAGCCAAUAAUGAGAAUUUCUGGUUUCCCUCUCCCAUCUCAUGUCAGCGUUCGGCUAAAAACCUUCCAUCAGCAUCAACCCUAAUGUUUUCAGCGGAAGGAGGGCCCGGGAAACUCAUGCUGUGACCUGAUAAAUGGCAUGCAGAGGAGUGUGCGAUUUUCUCAGGCCAGCCGUGGGGAGCUGUCAGAGCCGUCCAAAUUAAAGACAUUAAGAAAGGACCUUUGGAGAUGGCAAACAGGAUGGUGGAAUGGAUUCUUUCUGUCAGAUGAGAACUGGACAACAUGACCUCACAAGAUCCUUCUUUUCCUAAAGACUCUGGGACUCUGUGGAUUCCUGGGAACCUUCCGAAGAGUCAGUAGAAGCGGAGCUCCAUCACCCCCAUAUUCCACAUUCUCAUAACCACCAGCUGGAUUUGCUCUCACAGUGACCUCUUUUCACUCCUUCCUGAGAUGUUUCUUGAGCUGGAGACCUGGCUGAGCACUUGCAUUUGUCUCUGCAACAUCCAUCAAACCAUUUACAUGAGUCUUUGCAUCACCUGGAAAGCAGAGCCUGAAGCAAGGGUUCGAAUGCGGAUCCUGGAUUUGGAAGGUGCAAGCCCAAGGUGCCCCUUGUAGACUCCUUACUGGGAAGACCACUAACAGCACCAGGAGGAAAUGCUGCAGCUUGCCUCAAAUCCUGGUCCAGCCGCGUGUCUGCUGGUGACUACAACAACCCUCUUAACGGAUCUGAGCCUUCGUUCCCUCAUCUGUGAGGUAGGGCUGAGGGUGCUGUCCACCUGCCCAGGCUGGUGGGGAACGUGCAAUGAGAUGAUCCCUGUAACAUGCUUGGCAUGAAGCUAGGCACAGUGUAGGUGUGAAUAUAUGAGAGCUGAUUAAAUUAACCAACCUUAUUCCUCCGCAUCAUGACUUACCAGCUACUACCCCACCUGUGUCCUGUAGAACCAGGCUUGCAAAGCCUCUGCUACAUACUAAAGCCAGGGAGAGGCCACUGAUGGGCAAAAAGAGGAGGACAGAGACCUGGAAAACACUAACAAGGGCCCAGUAUAUGCAUAGGAAGCAGACGGCUGAUGUUCAGGUGGAGUUCAGGUUCAGUAUGCUCCAGCAGCACCCAUCGGAGAACCCAUUGGUAAGAGGCUUUGGAACAGAUGAUUUUCUAAAGCUAUAACUGUGGGUGGCUUAUAGGGGUAGUGUGGCCACUGUGACACAUAGGUCCCAUGCCAUACAGGACCUUGGAGCCCUGUCCAAAGCAGUGAUGGGAAAUGCACGUGACUGGGGGCUCUCAGUCUAGGGGAACUAGGAGGGCUUCAGAUCCCAGAGCCUGGCUGAAGCCCCAGCAGGACCACAGUGAUGUCUUGUCUUGGGAAAGUGUGUGCCCUGCCCCCAGAGACACCUGGACUUUUCAGCUCAGCGCUGCGGCAAGCACCCUAGCACAUGCCACCCAGGGCUUCCCAGAGGGUGGCCCCGAGUCAGGCAGUACACUAAAGGUUGGGACUCAAGUGGAAAGUUUGCUGAGAGAGUGAACAGGGGAAGUUGUUGAUCCUGGCCUCAUCUGCCAUUGCUCUCUGGGCACCCUGGCGCUGAGCCAGCCUCGGCUGCUGGCCUCCCUCAGCUGCUGGCCUCCCUCAGUUGCUGGCCUCCCUCAGCUGCUGGCCUCCCUGCUGGGGGUCUGCACCAGGUAGAGUGCUGUUUGGCUGAGAUUCACACACACAAAAAAUCUCAUUAAGCGGUGGAUUAAACAAAAUUGGGGCUUAUUUCUUUCUCUUAUAACAAAAGCCCAGAGGUAGGUGGCUGUAUUAGUCAGGGUUCUCUAGAGGAACAGAACUAAUAGGAUCUACGUAUAUACGAAAGGGAGUUUAUUAAGGAGAAUUGACUCAAAGGAUCACAAGGCGAAGUCCCACGAUAGGCCGUCUGCAGGCGGAGGAGCAAGGAAGCCAGUGGUGGAUCAGUCCAGGUCCCAAAACCUCAAAAGCAGGGAAGCCAACAGUGCAGCCUUCAGUCUGUGGCCAAAGGCUCAAGAGCCCCCAGCAAGCCACUGGUGUAAGUCCAAGAGUCCAAAAGCUGAAGAACCUGGAGUCUGAUGUUCAAGGGCAGGAAGCAUCCCGCGUGGGAGGAAAGAUGAAAGCCAGAAGACUCAGCAAGCCAGCUUCUUCCACUUUCUUCCACCUACAUUUUUUAAGCUGCGCUGGCAGCCCAUUGGAUGGUGCCCACGCAGAUUGAGGAUGGGUCCACCUCUCCCAGUCCACUGACCCCAGUGUUUAUCUCCUCUGGCAACACCCUCACAGACACACCCAGAAACAAUACUUUUCAUCCUUCAAUUCAAUCAAGUUGACACUCAAUAAUCACAUCAAGCAUCCAAUGGACAGUCAUCUGAACACCUCUCCAGAUACAUCGCCACUGUGCAGGGCUUGGGCUGGCAGAGGGUGCUGCAUAAAGACCCAACUUCAAAAGGGAAUGAGAGAAACAGAGCAGUUCAUGAUGCCCCAAGUCUCCCUUUAAAAUCCUUCCGAGCAGGAAUUAUCACAAAGACUCCCCACCCUGGCAGCAGGGUGAGCUCCUUGGUGACCCCACAGGCAGCCCUGGCCCUGCUCUCUGAAGCACUUCCCGGGCUUGUCAUCCCGUGUCCCCUGGCUUUGUGCCCUGGAAGGCCCUUCCUUGUGCAGCACCCCUCAUGGCUCAACUGAAGCAAGCGUAGGAUGCUACACUCCUUGGGCAAUACACAGAUUUUGCAGCCAUCUUCUCCAGAUAUAGUUUUGAAGACCAUCACAGGCUAUUGUAGGCCCCACUUGUGGCACAUUUUUGGACAGUAACAGCCCCUCAAAAUGUAUUUGCUUCCUGUCUGUUCCAUGUGCAAGUAACCAUCCCCUCAAUCUGCUUACAGUCAUGAUCUUAAACGGACCAAGUCUCCUUUUCUGUUUCCAGGAUUUCUUGGUUGACCAGGUCUACGCUUCUGCACUAGUUCUCAAGAGCUGCUGUAACAAAGUGCCACAAACUAGGUGACUUAAAACAACAGGAAGUGAUCCUCUUAUAGUUCUGGAGGCUACAAGUCAGAAAUCAAAGUGUUGGCAGGGCCACGUGCCCUCAAAGGCUGUAGGGGACAAUCCGCUCCUUGCUCAUCCAGCCUCUGCUGGUUUCUAGCAGUCUUGAUGUUCCUCGGCUCCUGCCAGCAUCCUUGAAAUCUCCGCCUUCAUCUUCGCAUGGCUUUCUUUCUUGUUUCGGUGUCCAAGUUUCUUCCUUUUUAUAAGGACACCAGUCCUAUUGGAUUUAGAGUCCAUCCUAAUUCAUUACGGCCUGAUUACAACUGCUAAGACCCCUUUUUUAAAAAAUAAGGUUACAUUCACAAGUUCCAGGUGGACAUUAAUUACAAGGCAACACUAUUUAACUCGGUGCACCCUCUGUCUUUUUAUUUCAUGAUGUCUCCCCAAGGCCUUCUGAAACAGUAGGCUUGGUAGGGAGGCAGCACUCUUGCUCAGCUCAUGGAAGCUAAGGAGGCACCUAGAGACCCUUGCACCUACUGCUGCCUGAGAUACAGGAGCAGAUGGCUUUUCUAAUCUUGUGAGAAUCCAGACUUCUGGAUUUUAAAUCAAUUUAGAUUGCAGGUCUCAGCUUGUAAGCUUCUCUUAACCGAAGUCAAUUUUCUUCUAUACCUGUUUACAAAGCCAUGGGUUCUCACCUGAAUUUCUCUCUUUUGUAUUUUGCUAAAAGCAACAAAGAGCAGCCAACACUCUGAGUUUUUCCAGCAGAUUCCUGGUGAGACAAAGUCGAGAAGGUGGAUAGGAAAGUGGUCUGCUUUCCAAGUUAUCCCAGGGGACAGGUCUACCAAAAUUUGCAAAACACAGCAAGGGUGAACAGCUUCCAAACCUGCAGCGUCUAGACCCUCACCUCCUGCACCAACUGCUACGCCAGUGGUGUACAUUUUAGUUCUUCGUUUUGGUAGCACCCCACUUCUGGCACUAGUUUCUGUAUCUGUUAGGGUAGAAGCUAAGCUGCUAAAAUAAAGAGACCCAACCAUAGUGAUUUUGAUAAUGCAGAUCUUUUCACUCUCUCAUUUUACCAUGCAGGGGUGAAAAACCAGGGCUGGAAGGUGGCUGGGUCACCUUUAACUUGUUGUUACAUGACCACACGGAGCUGCAAGGGAGGGUGGGUUAUGCAGUCUGAAGCCAGACCACGUGCACAGCCAGAAUGUGUAUGGGGUUCUACUAAGUUUGAAAAGGAAAAAAGGCAUCACUGAUAUCAGAAGAUUGAUUUUCAAUUUUUCUCGAUCAUGUAUUUGGCGCUUUAUUGAGCUUCCAAUACCAAAUCUCCCUGGCUCCGUGCUGCCAUUUCUGCCUGAAUAUUUUCAAGGAAACUGAGCACCAGAGGUGUAGAGUAACUUUCCUGAAGUCACAGAGCAAUGUGGAGGUAGAGGUGGAGUCAGUGUCCAGAUCUACCAGGAGCCAAUCAGUCUGAGUCUAUCUGGGCGGCUACCACAAAAUACCACAGACUGAGUGGCCUAUAAACAACAGACGCUUACUUCUCUUAUUUAUCUCUGGAGGCUGGGAAGUCCACAAUCACGGGGCUGGCACAUUCAGCAUCUGGGCAGGGCUACUCUCUCUUUUAACAUGGCUCAUUUUUGCUGUGUCCUCACAUGGGGCUGGCAGAUGGCUGGGUCACCCUUAAUUUGUUGUUAAUUUCCAUGGUUCCUCCAAUUUGUUGUCACUCUUCCCAAAGGGCAGGGACUGAAAGAGUCUAUGGGAGCUUCUUCAGGGACACAACUCAGAAGUUGUAUGCAUCCCCUCUGCUCAUGUUCCAGUGGGCUGAGCUUUGUCACAUGACCACAUCUAGCUGCAAGGGAGGGUGGGAGAUACAGUCUGAAGCCAGAGAGCCAUGCGCACAGCUAGAAUGUGUGUGGGGCCAGAGGGGAUGAACGCUGUGUCCUUACAUGGCAGAGAAGAUGGAAGGCAAAAGGGACUAGGGUGCUUGCUACAACCUCUUUGAUGAGAGCAGAAAGCCAUUCAUGAGGGGGGAGUUCUCAUCAUUUAGUAACUUCCCUGAAAGCUCCACCUCUGAAUACCAUCACUUUGGGGUUUAAGUUCCAACAUGAAUUUUGGAGGGACACGUACAUUCAAACCACACCACAACCUGAUGCUCAUUUCCUCUUCCCUCCACCACAGGGUGAGACAAUCCUGCACCACAGGCAAUAAAGAGACCGUGAUAAGCAAAACCAUCCAUCUGGCUGUGGUUUGGCAUGCACCCCACUGGUCUCUUGAUUUUUCCCAAUUUCCCGUCUGGAGGGGGCCAUAGCCUAGGCCAGAAGAUGUUCUUUUCCCCCCAUGAACCUCAACAAAUCACCAAGUAUGUAAUGGAGGAAAACCGAAAAUCAAUCAUCUGAUAACAGUUCUGCCUUUUUCCUUGCUAUUAGUAGAACUCCACAUACCUGCUGUGCCCCUGGCUAUCUGGCUUCAGAGUACAUCUCCCACCUCCCUUGUAGCUGGAUGUGGUCAUGUGACAAAGGUCAGCCCAAUGGAACAUUUGAGCAGAGGGCAUGUGUACACCUUCUGAGUCCUGAGACCUAAAUGCAACCCAUUCUCCAAAAUCCAGUUUGCAUGCCCCCUCCUCCAGGAAGUCCUCUUUGACUACUGCAGUUUUUUGUUUUGCAAUACCCGUUUUCUAUAGUAUAUUGUUUCUGUGUUGUUCCCAUUGAUACAAAUGGUAUCCUCUUGAGGGCUGUUUAGCAAUUGUUUCAUCUUUCCCUAAUCCUGAGCCUCCCCUGUGUCUGCCACGGAGCCCAUGGCCUGCCCUCACUCCCUGGGUCUUGAGUGGGCUCCCCUCCUCUGUGCCUCCUCUGCUCCCAUCCUUACCUGCAUCAUUGACUUAUCCUGAUCAACUUUUAAGUCAACUGGUUACUUGUCUGCCUCACCCUCAAGAUCACAACCACUUUGACAGCAAGGACUUUGCUUUAAAGUUUUCUAGGGCUGACAUAACAAAGCUCCACAGACUCGGGGUCUUGAACAAGAGGGAUUUAUUUUCCCAUAGUCUUCCAGGCUGAAAGUUCAAGAUCAAAGUGUCGGCACGGUUGGUGGCUCCCGAGGCCCCGUCCUUGGCUUGCAGAUGCCGUCUUCUCCUUGUGUCUUAUCAUCUUCCCUCUCUGCAUGUCUGUGUUCUAAUCCCCUCUUUCUAUAAGGAUGUCAGUCCUCUUGGAUUCGGGCCCACCCUAAUGACCUCAUUUUAACUUAAUCACCUCUGCAAAGAUCUUAUCUCCGAACAUAAUCACAUUCUGAGUCCUUGGGGGUUACAGCUUCAACAUGAAUUUUUUUUGGGAAACACAAAACAGACUUGUUCCUUGUAGCCUACGUGCUCUGGCCCCUAGUACAGAACCUCUCUAAUGGGCCAUGUGGUAGCAGUCACUGGGUACCUGAAUGAAUGUUUAAAACACGAAGAACUGAUCUGACAGCUGGCACUGCUUUGGUGAUAAUUUAUCACAUCGAUCUUUCGGGUUCAGAGCGAGGGCACCCCAACCCCAGAGCAAAGGAGCUCCUGAGGUGGUGGCCAACAGAAAGCUGGAAGGGAGGCCCAGCUGCACUCCAGGAGAGCAGACCCAGCUGUUUCAGGGGCUCUGAGCCAUGUCUGACAACAUUCAAUGUGUUCAUGGAAAAUAGAAUCAGCCCAAUACACCUAAGCGGAGAGGAGGGUUUCUUAAGUGAGAGCUUUUUCCCCAAAAGAGGCGGGUGCUCCGAGGUCAGGAGAUCGAGACCAUCCCGGCUAAAACGGUG